UACAGCCAUAUCAUAUUGAAAUACCAGUUCCUGUAUGAUCACUGAAAUUAAGCAAUGUUGAGCCUGGUCAGUAUCCAGAUGGGUGUCUUCUUGGAAAUACCAAGUACUGUAAG